rnacentral:rRNA from 1 species
UACACUCCUGCGGGAGGCAGCAGUGGGGAAUAUUGGACAAUGGGCGCAAGCCUGAUCCAGCCAUGCCGCGUGAGUGAUGAAGGCCCUAGGGUUGUAAAGCUCUUUCACCGGAGAAGAUAAUGACGGUAUCCGGAGAAGAAGCCCCGGCUAACUUCGUGCCAGCAGCCGCGGUAAUACGAAGGGGGCUAGCGUUGUUCGGAAUUACUGGGCGUAAAGCGCACGUAGGCGGAUCGAUCAGUCAGGGGUGAAAUCCCAGGGCUCAACCCUGGAACUGCCUUUGAUACUGUCGAUCUGGAGUAUGGAAGAGGUGAGUGGAAUUCCGAGUGUAGAGGUGAAAUUCGUAGAUAUUCGGAGGAACACCAGUGGCGAAGGCGGCUCACUGGUCCAUUACUGACGCUGAGGUGCGAAAGCGUGGGGAGCAAACAGGAUUAGAAACCCUAGUAGUCCCA